CAUGGCCACAUCACAUCAUGUCUGGGCAGAGGCAAGGGCCUCCAGCCAGCUAAUGUGAUGGACACGGUAUCUGGAGAGUCCUGCAUUUCAAAACUUACUCUAAGGAAGACUGCUUUGAUUUUCAAAGUCUCUAGUCUACAGAGAGAUUGAGCUCUGGCUGCAAGACACUGUCUAUCAUAGAGCCACAUGGCGACAUUGCCGUAGAGAAGAGACAUAAAUAACCACAACUGCCAGAAAAUAAAGCUGGUAAUCUCUAGAAAUGCCUGGAUACAUUAAAAUGAAAUAUAACCCAGUACUCUGGUUCUUUAGACCCCGUUGAAUACUUUGUUCUCAGUCAGCUGAUAAAAUUUUAAUUUAUUAUUGCGUGUUUAUGAUGAAAUGUAACAUAACUCAUUCAUUGUGUCUGUUAAUCCUCUCAUUCAUAAAAAUAGCAUAUGUGUUGAUGAUCUACAUUAAAGUAAUUGUUUACCAUGGGUAGUAUUAUAGCGAUAAUCUAUAAAUAAUGUGAAAGUUUGUAGAAAAUUAAAGUAUAUAGAACUGUAGAAAGAGAUAAAUCUUUAAAUAUUUAAGGUUUUGAUCUGCUUGUAUAAUGAACUGGUGUUUUAGCCAUUUGAGCCACCUAGUGGUAAUAUACAUGAGAUAUGAUUUCUUAUUCUGAAAAAAAAUGUAAAAGUUUAACAGUUUCCAAUUUAAAAGGAAUAAACUAAGUAAAGCGAAUCAUAAC
rnacentral:lncRNA from 10 species